rnacentral:rRNA from 1 species
AUACGUAGGGGGCGAGCGUUGUCCGGAAUGAUUGGGCGUAAAGGGCGCGUAGGCGGCCCGGUAAGUCUGGAGUGAAAGUCCUGUUUUUAAGAUGGGAAUUGCUUUGGAUACUGUCGGGCUUGAGUGCAGGGGAGGUAAGUGGAAUUCCCAGUGUAGCGGUGAAAUGCGUAGAGAUUGGGAGGAACACCAGUGGCGAAGGCGACGUACUGGACUGUAACUGACGCUGAGGCGCGAAAGUGUGGGGAGCAAACAGGAUUAGAUACCCUGGUAGUCCACACUGUAAACGAUGAAUGCUAGGUGUAGGGGGUAUCGACCCCUUCUGUGCCGCAGUCAACACAAUAAGCAUUCCGCCUGGGGAGUACGGCCGCAAGGUUGAAACUCAAAUGAAUUGACGGGG